rnacentral:lncRNA from 1 species
UGAGACACAGCAUUUAACGAGGUUCGGCUAUGCCUACGUCCUCGGAGAGCAGCAGCAGUAACUUUUCCACUAUGUAAAAUAAUAGGGCUACAAGUUUAGUGUUUACAAUAUAUGUGGCUCACUGAAAUUUCUCUCUAGGAGAAUUUCUCUCUGCUCUCUCUUUCCUCUUUCUUCCUUCUCUUUCUUUCUCUUUUUUUUCUUCUUUUCUUCUUUCCGUUUCUCUUCUUAUUUAUAGGCUGAAAUAAUCACUAUUCAUCACUGUUCACCCGUGACAGACAAACUCUAUCAAAGCCGCCAAUUUCACUAUUCAUCACUGUUCACCCGUGACAGACAAACUUUAUCAAAGCUGCCAAAUGAACAGUAAUGAAUAGUUAGUUGGCUCCACAUGUUUAUUCUUUUAUUCUUUUACAACACUCCCCCUUGGAGAUCACUAAUGAUAUAUCGGUUGUAUCUUUAAAGACUUGCUUGGAGAAAACCUAGUAAGGUAGAGAACUGAUGGAAAGAAGAGUACAACAAUCUGUAUAGCAUACUUCUGGAUGCUCCCCCUGAUUAAUAUCUCCCCCUGAUGUCUUCAUGACUAUCUUUUGGAUUGAGAAUCUUUCAGAGUGAGUGGAUG